CCUACGGGUGGCAGCAGUAGGGAAUUUUCGGCAAUGGGGGGAACCCUGACCGAGCAACGCCGCGUGAACGAAGAAGUUAUUCGUAAUGUAAAGUUCUUUUAACAGGGAAGAAAGUGAAAUUUGAUGGUACCUGAAGAAUAAGCUCCGGCUAACUACGUGCCAGCAGCCGCGGUAAUACGGAGGGAGCGAGCGUUAUCCGGAAUUAUUGGGCAUAGGGGUGCGUAGAUGGAAUAUAAGGUCUUUUGGAAAAAUGCUGGGCUCAACCCAGUAGGGCAAAAGAUACUGCAAAGCUAGAGUAUAGCAGAGGAAAGUGGAACUACAUGUGUAGCGGUAAAAUGCGUAUAUAUAUGUAAGAACACCAGUGGCGAAGGCGGCUUGCUGGGUCGCUACUGACAUUGAGGCACGAAAGCGUGGGGAGCAAACAGGAUUAGAUACCCGUGUAGUC
rnacentral:rRNA from 1 species